rnacentral:rRNA from 1 species
UACGUAGGGGGCAAGCGUUGUCCGGAAUUAUUGGGCGUAAAGAGCGUGUAGGCGGUCCGGUAAGUCAGCUGUGAAAGUCAAGGGCUCAACCCUUGAAUGCCGGUUGAUACUGUCGGGCUAGAGUCCGGAAGAGGCGAGUGGAAUUCCCGGUGUAGCGGUGAAAUGCGCAGAUAUCAGGAGGAACACCGGUGGCGAAGGCGGGUCUCUGGGCAGUAACUGACGCUGAGGAGCGAAAGCGUGGGGAGCGAACAGG